UACAGAGGGUGCGAGCGUUACUCGGAAUUACUGGGCGUAAAGCGUGCGUAGACGGUUAUUUAAGUCGGAUGUGAAAGCCCCGGGCUCAACCUGGGAAUUGCAUUCGAGACUGAAUAGCUAGGGUGCGGUAGAGGGAAGCGGAAUUUCCGGUGUAGCGGUGAAAUGCGUAGAUAUCAGGAGGAACACCAAUAGCGAAGGCAGCUCGCUGGGACGGUACUGACGCUAAGGCGCGAAAGCGUGGGGAGCGAACAGG
rnacentral:rRNA from 1 species